rnacentral:rRNA from 1 species
CCUACGGGAGGCUGCAGUGGGGAAUAUUGGACAAUGGGCGAAAGCCUGAUCCAGCCAUGCCGCGUGUGUGAAGAAGGCCUUCGGGUUGUAAAGCACUUUCAGUGGGGAAGAAAGCCUUGGGGCUAAUACCCUCGAGGAAGGACAUCACCCACAGAAGAAGCACCGGCUAACUCCGUGCCAGCAGCCGCGGUAAUACGGAGGGUGCGAGCGUUAAUCGGAAUUACUGGGCGUAAAGCGCGCGUAGGCGGUCUGAUAAGCCGGUUGUGAAAGCCCCGGGCUCAACCUGGGAACGGCAUCCGGAACUGUCAAGCUAGAGUGCAGGAGAGGAAGGUAGAAUUCCCGGUGUAGCGGUGAAAUGCGUAGAGAUCGGGAGGAAUACCAGUGGCGAAGGCGGUCUUCUGGACUGACACUGACGCUGAGGUGCGAAAGCGUGGGUAGCAAACAGGAUUAGAUACCCGGGUAGUC